rnacentral:rRNA from 1 species
UAACACAUGCAAGUCGAGGGGCAGCAUGGUCUUAGCUUGCUAAGACUGAUGGCGACCGGCGCACGGGUGAGUAACACGUAUCCAACCUGCCGUCUACUCUUGGACAGCCUUCUGAAAGGAAGAUUAAUACAAGAUGGCAUCAUGAGUCCGUAUGUUCACAUGAUUAAAGGUAUUCCGGUAGACGAUGGGGAUGCGUUCCAUUAGAUAGUAGGCGGGGUAACGGCCCACCUAGUCUUCGAUGGAUAGGGGUUCUGAGAGGAAGGUCCCCCACAUUGGAACUGAGACACGGUCCAAACUCCUACGGGAGGCAGCAGUGAGGAAUAUUGGUCAAUGGGCGAGAGCCUGAACCAGCCAAGUAGCGUGAAGGAUGACUGCCCUAUGGGUUGUAAACUUCUUUUAUAAAGGAAUAAAGUCGGGUAUGUAUACCCGUUUGCAUGUACUUUAUGAAUAAGGAUCGGCUAACUCCGUGCCAGCAGCCGCGGUAAUACGGAGGAUCCGAGCGUUAUCCGGAUUUAUUGGGUUUAAAGGGAGCGUAGAUGGAUGUUUAAGUCAGUUGUGAAAGUUUGCGGCUCAACCGUAAAAUUGCAGUUGAUACUGGAUAUCUUGAGUGCAGUUGAGGCAGGCGGAAUUCGUGGUGUAGCGGUGAAAUGCUUAGAUAUCACGAAGAACUCCGGUUGCGAAGGCAGCCUGCUAAGCUGCAACUGACAUUGAGGCUCGAAAGUGUGGGUAUCAAA